ACACCACCCUGAACGCGCCCGAUCUCGUCUGAUCUCGGAAGCUAAGCAGGGUCGGGCCGGGAAUCACCGUGCCGUAGGCUUCUUCUUUUUUUAUUCUUGGCCUGUU
rnacentral:rRNA from 1 species